UCCCUUCCUAGAAAGGUCAGAGCCGUUCCUUCCCAUUCAUGUGUUGAAAUAAACACAUGACUCAGUUAUCACCCUUCCUCAAACCCCUCCAGCUUACAUGCUUUGGAAACAGGCAGCCAAGGUGGAUGGAGAGCAGAGAUGUUUCCUGUCUUCAGCUUCUUGAGAGCUCAUUGAUUGAGGCAGCAUCUCUCACAGCCUGAAGCCCAGCAAUUC